UGAAAUUCCGUCGGAAUCUGGGAGGACCAUCUCCCAAGGCUAAAUACUCCCUAGUGAUCGAUAGUGAACCAGUACCGUGAGGGAAAGGUGAAAAGCACCCCGGAAGGGGAGUGAAAGAGAUCCUGAAACCGUGUGCCUACAAAUAGUCAGAGCCCGUUAAUGGGUGAUGGCGUGCCUUUUGUAGAAUGAACCGGCGAGUUACGAUCCCGUGCGAGGUUAAGCUGAAGAGGCGGAGCCGCAGCGAAAGCGAGUCUGAAUAGGGCGUUUAGUACGUGGUCGUAGACCCGAAACCAGGUGAUCUACCCAUGUCCAGGGUGAAGUUCAGGUAACACUGAAUGGAGGCCCGAACCCACGCACGUUGAAAAGU
rnacentral:rRNA from 1 species